AUGAAUGCUGGCGGCGUGUCUAAGGCAUGCAAGUCGAACGGUUCCCCAUAGCCCGCAAGGGCAACGGGGAAUAGUGGCAAACGGGAGCGUAACACAUUGGUAACCUACCCUGAACUCGUGAAUAACUAUUGGAAACGAUAGGUAAUACACGAUAUUGAUGAGAGGGCUUCUGCUACACUCAUUGAAAGAUUUUUCGGUUCAGGAGGGGCCUAUGGCCCAUCAGCUUGUUGGCGGUGUAAUAGACCACCAAGGCUAUGACGGGUACCAGGCGCGAGAGCGUGACCUGGCUCACUGGGACUGAGACACUGCCCAGACACCUACGGGUGGCUGCAGUCAAGAAUAUUCCACAAUGCACGAAAGUGUGAUGGAGCGACGCCGCGUGUCGGAAGAAGGCCUUCGGGUUGUAAACGACUUUUAUCAGGGAAGAAUUUUGACGGUACCUGAAGAAUAAGGGGUUGCUAACUCUGU
rnacentral:rRNA from 1 species